rnacentral:rRNA from 1 species
UACGAAGGGGGCUAGCGUUGUUCGGAAUCACUGGGCGUAAAGGGCGCGUAGGCGGCCAUGCGUGUCUUCCGUGAAAUCCCUCGGCUUAACUGAGGACGUGCGGAAGAAACUGCAAGGCUCGAGUCCGGGAGAGGGGGGUGGAAUUCCCGGUGUAGCGGUGAAAUGCGCAGAUAUCAGGAGGAACACCGGUGGCGAAGGCGGAUCUCUGGGAUGAUGCUGACGCUGAUGCGCGAAAGCCAGGGGAGCAAACGGG